rnacentral:other from 1 species
ACUAGGCUUCACCUUCGAUCCCCGUAAUAUUGCGAUGGACCGAUGCAUUUUGUUAGGGAGCUCUAGAUUGCUUGCGAAAUGGAGAUUCGCGCCCGUUGGCGCGAAAGCCAGGAAACAAGCUGCGGGCACCCACCUUUCUGAGGUGGGUUCAUCCUUAGGGCGGGGGUGAGGCUUUAUG